UACGAAGGGGGCUAGCGUUGCUCGGAAUCACUGGGCGUAAAGGGCGCGUAGGCGGCGUUUUUAAGUCGGAGGUGAAAGCCUGUGGCUCAACCACAGAAUGGCCUUCGAUACUGGGACGCUUGAGUCUGGUAGAGGUUGGUGGAACUGCGAGUGUAGAGGUGAAAUUCGUAGAUAUUCGCAAGAACACCGGUGGCGAAGGCGGCCAACUGGACCAGCACUGACGGCUGAGGCGCGAAAGCGUGGGGAGCAAACAGG
rnacentral:rRNA from 1 species